rnacentral:rRNA from 1 species
GGAAUCUUGCACAAUGGAGGAAACUCUGAUGCAGCGACGCCGCGUGAGCGAUGAAGCCUUUCGGGGUGUAAAGCUCUUACGCCAGGGACGAUAAUGACGGUACCUGGAGAAGCAGCUGCGGCUAACUACGUGCCAGCAGCCGCGGUAAUACGUAGGCAGCAAGCGUUGUUCGGAAUUACUGGGCGUAAAGGGUGCGUAGGCGGUGCUCUAAGUUUGGUGUGAAAUCUCCCGGCUCAACUGGGAGGGUGCGCCGGAAACUGGGGUACUUGAGUGUGGGAGAGGAAAGCGGAAUUCCUGGUGUAGCGGUGAAAUGCGUAGAGAUCAGGAGGAACACCUGCGGUGUAGACGGCUUUCUGGACCAUAACUGACGCUGAGGCACGAAAGCGUGGGUAGCAAACAGGAUUAGAUACCCUGGUAGUCC